UAGGGAAUCUUCGGCAAUGGACGAAAGUCUGACCGAGCAACGCCGCGUGAGUGAAGAAGGUUUUCGGAUCGUAAAACUCUGUUGUUAGAGAAGAACAAGGACGUUAGUAACUGAACGUCCCCUGACGGUAUCUAACCAGAAAGCCACGGCUAACUACGUGCCAGCAGCCGCGGUAAUACGUAGGUGGCAAGCGUUGUCCGGAUUUAUUGGGCGUAAAGCGAGCGCAGGCGGUUUCUUAAGUCUGAUGUGAAAGCACCCGGCUCAACCGGGGAGGGUCAUUGGAGACUGGGAGACUUGAGUGCAGAAGAGGAGAGUGGAAUUCCAUGUGUAGCGGUGAAAUGCGUAGAUAUAUGGAGGAACACCAGUGGCGAAGGCGGCUCUCUGGUCUGUAACUGACGCUGAGGCUCGAAAGCGUGGGGAGCAAACAGG
rnacentral:rRNA from 1 species